ACGGACUCAUAUUGAAACCUAGUGAAGUAUGAGUUAGUGGCGGACGGGUGAGUAACGCGUGGAAAACCUGCCGUAUACUGGGGGAUAACACUUAGAAAUAGGUGCUAAUACCGCAUAAGCGCACAGCUUCGCAUAAAGCAGUGUGAAAAACUGAGGUGGUAUACGAUGGUUCCGCGUCUGAUUAGCUAGUUGGUGGGGUAAAAGCCUACCAAGGCAACGAUCAGUAGCCGGCCUGAGAGGGUGAACGGCCACAUUGGGACUAAGACACGGCCCAAACUCCUACGGGAGGCAGCAGUGGGGAAUAUUGCACAAUGGGGGAAACCCUGAUGCAGCGACGCCGCGUGAGUGAAGAAGUAUUUCGGUAUGUAAAGCUCUAUCAGCAGGGAAGAAAUACUGACCAUAGGGUCAGCAGACGGUACUUGACUAAGAAGCCCCGGCUAACUACGUGCCAGCAGCCGCGGUAAUACGUAGGGGGCAAGCGUUAUCCGGAUUUACUGGGUGUAAAGGGAGCGUAGACGGCAGCGCAAGUCUGAAGUGAAAUGCCAGGGCUUAACCCUGGAACUGCUUUGGAAACUGUGCAGCUAGAGUGCAGGAGAGGUAAGUGGAAUUUCUAGUGUAGCGGUGAAAUGCGUAGAUAUUAGGAGGAACACCAGUGGCGAAGGCGGCUUACUGGACUGUAACUGACGUUGAGGCUCGAAAGCGUGGGGAGCAAACAGGAUUAGAUACCCUGGUAGUCCACGCUGUAAACGAUGAUUACUAGGUGUUGGGGACCAAGGUUCUUCGGUGCCGUCGCAAACGC
rnacentral:rRNA from 1 species